rnacentral:rRNA from 1 species
CAACCUACCUUUUACAGGGGGAUAGCUCGGGGAAACUCGAAUUAAUACCCCAUGGCAUCAUAAGAUCGCAUGGUCUAAUGAUUAAAGAUUUAUCGGUAAAAGAUGGGCAUGCGUCUGAUUAGUUAGAUGGCGGGGUAACGGCCCACCAUGACGAUGAUCAGUAGGGGUUCUGAGAGGAUGAUCCCCCACACUGGUACUGAGACACGGACCAGACUCCUACGGGAGGCAGCA